rnacentral:rRNA from 1 species
UUAAGUUAUUAAGGGCGCACGGUGGAUGCCUUGGCACUAGAAGCCGAUGAAGGACGUUACUAACGACGAUAUGCUUUGGGGAGCUGUAAGUAAGCUUUGAUCCAGAGAUUUCCGAAUGGGGAAACCCAGCAUGAGUUAUGUCAUGUUAUCGAUAUGUGAAUACAUAGCAUAUCAGAAGGCACACCCGGAGAACUGAAACAUCUUAGUACCCGGAGGAAGAGAAAGAAAAUUCGAUUCCCUUAGUAGCGGCGAGCGAAACGGGAAGAGCCCAAACCAACAAGCUUGCUUGUUGGGGUUGUAGGACACUCUAUACGGAGUUACAAAGGACGACAUUAGACGAAUCAUCUGGAAAGAUGAAUCAAAGAAGGUAAUAAUCCUGUAGUCGAAAAUGUUGUCUCUCUUGAGUGGAUCCUGAGUACGACGGAGCACGUGAAAUUCCGUCGGAAUCUGGGAGGACCAUCUCCUAAGGCUAAAUACUCUCUAGUGACCGAUAGUGAACCAGUACCGUGAGGGAAAGGUGAAAAGCACCCCGGAAGGGGAGUGAAAUAGAACCUGAAACCGUGUGCUUACAAGUAGUCAGAGCCCGUUAAUGGGUGAUGGCGUGCCUUUUGUAGAAUGAACCGGCGAGUUACGAUUUGAUGCAAGGUUAAGCAGUAAAUGUGGAGCCGUAGCGAAAGCGAGUCUGAAUAGGGCGUUUAGUAUUUGGUCGUAGACCCGAAACCAGGUGAUCUACCCUUGGUCAGGUUGAAGUUCAGGUAACACUGAAUGGAGGACCGAACCGACUUACGUUGAAAAGUGAGCGGAUGAACUGAGGGUAGCGGAGAAAUUCCAAUCGAACCUGGAGAUAGCUGGUUCUCUCCGAAAUAGCUUUAGGGCUAGCCUCAAGUGAUGAUUAUUGGAGGUAGAGCACUGUUUGGACGAGGGGCCCCUCUCGGGUUACCGAAUUCAGACAAACUCCGAAUGCCAAUUAAUUUAACUUGGGAGUCAGAACAUGGGUGAUAAGGUCCGUGUUCGAAAGGGAAACAGCCCAGACCACCAGCUAAGGUCCCAAAAUAUAUGUUAAGUGGAAAAGGAUGUGGCGUUGCCCAGACAACUAGGAUGUUGGCUUAGAAGCAGCCAUCAUUUAAAGAGUGCGUAAUAGCUCACUAGUCGAGUGACACUGCGCCGAAAAUGUACCGGGGCUAAACAUAUUACCGAAGCUGUGGAUUGUCCUUUGGACAAUGGUAGGAGAGCGUUCUAAGGGCGUUGAAGCAUGAUCGUAAGGACAUGUGGAGCGCUUAGAAGUGAGAAUGCCGGUGUGAGUAGCGAAAGACGGGUGAGAAUCCCGUCCACCGAUUGACUAAGGUUUCCAGAGGAAGGCUCGUCCGCUCUGGGUUAGUCGGGUCCUAAGCUGAGGCCGACAGGCGUAGGCGAUGGAUAACAGGUUGAUAUUCCUGUACCACCUAUAAUCGUUUUAAUCGAUGGGGGGACGCAGUAGGAUAGGCGAAGCGUGCGAUUGGAUUGCACGUCUAAGCAGUAAGGCUGAGUAUUAGGCAAAUCCGGUACUCGUUAAGGCUGAGCUGUGAUGGGGAAGACAUUGUGUCUUCGAGUCGUUGAUUUCACACUGCCGAGAAAAGCCUCUAGAUAGAAAAUAGGUGCCCGUACCGCAAACCGACACAGGUAGUCAAGAUGAGAAUUCUAAGGUGAGCGAGCGAACUCUCGUUAAGGAACUCGGCAAAAUGACCCCGUAACUUCGGGAGAAGGGGUGCUCUUUAGGGUUAACGCCCAGAAGAGCCGCAGUGAAUAGGCCCAAGCGACUGUUUAUCAAAACACAGGUCUCUGCUAAACCGUAAGGUGAUGUAUAGGCUGACGCCUGCCCGGUGCUGGAAGGUUAAGAGGAGUGGUUAGCUUCUGCGAAGCUACGAAUCGAAGCCCCAGUAAAACGGCGGCCGUAACUAUAACGGUCCUAAGGUAGCGAAAUUCCUUGUCGGGUAAGUUCCGACCCGCACGAAAGGCGUAACGAUUUGGGCACUGUCUCAACGAGAGACUCGGUGAAAUCAUAGUACCUGUGAAGAUGCAGGUUACCCGCGACAGGACGGAAAGACCCCGUGGAGCUUUACUGUAGCCUGAUAUUGAAAUUCGGCACAGCUUGUACAGGAUAGGUAGGAGCCUUUGAAACGUGAGCGCUAGCUUACGUGGAGGCGCUGGUGGGAUACUACCCUAGCUGUGUUGGCUUUCUAACCCGCACCACUUAUCGUGGUGGGAGACAGUGUCAGGCGGGCAGUUUGACUGGGGCGGUCGCCUCCUAAAAGGUAACGGAGGCGCUCAAAGGUUCCCUCAGAAUGGUUGGAAAUCAUUCAUAGAGUGUAAAGGCAUAAGGGAGCUUGACUGCGAGACCUACAAGUCGAGCAGGGUCGAAAGACGGACUUAGUGAUCCGGUGGUUCCGCAUGGAAGGGCCAUCGCUCAACGGAUAAAAGCUACCCCGGGGAUAACAGGCUUAUCUCCCCCAAGAGUUCACAUCGACGGGGAGGUUUGGCACCUCGAUGUCGGCUCAUCGCAUCCUGGGGCUGUAGUCGGUCCCAAGGGUUGGGCUGUUCGCCCAUUAAAGCGGUACGCGAGCUGGGUUCAGAACGUCGUGAGACAGUUCGGUCCCUAUCCGUCGUGGGCGUAGGAAAUUUGAGAGGAGCUGUCCUUAGUACGAGAGGACCGGGAUGGACAUACCUCUGGUGUACCAGUUGUCGUGCCAACGGCAUAGCUGGGUAGCUAUGUGUGGACGGGAUAAGUGCUGAAAGCAUCUAAGCAUGAAGCCCCCCUCAAGAUGAGAUUUCCCAACUUCGGUUAUAAGAUCCCUCAAAGAUGAUGAGGUUAAUAGGUUCGAGGUGGAAGCAUGGUGACAUGUGGAGCUGACGAAUACUAAUCGAUCGAAGACUUAAUCAA